UGGGGAAUAUUGGGCAAUGGGCGCAAGCCUGACCCAGCAACGCCGCGUGAAGGAAGAAGGCCCUCGGGUUGUAAACUUCUUUUAACAGGGACGAAGCAAGUACGGUACCUGUUGAAUAAGCCACGGCUAACUACGUGCCAGCAGCCGCGGUAAUACGUAGGUGGCAAGCGUUAUCCGGAUUUACUGGGUGUAAAGGGCGUGUAGGCGGGACUGCAAGUCAGAUGUGAAAACCAUGGGCUCAACCCAUGGCCUGCAUUUGAAACUGUAGUUCUUGAGUGUUGGAGAGGCAGGCGGAAUUCCGUGUGUAGCGGUGAAAUGCGUAGAUAUACGGAGGAACACCAGUGGCGAAGGCGGCCUGCUGGACAAUAACUGACGCUGAGGCGCGAAAGCGUGGGGAGCAAACAGGAUUAGAUACC
rnacentral:rRNA from 1 species